rnacentral:rRNA from 1 species
AGUGAACGCUGGCGGUAGGCCUAACACAUGCAAGUCGAACGGCAGCGCAGUAAGAGCUUGCUCUUACGGGUGGCGAGUGGCGGACGGGUGAGGAAUACAUCGGAAUCUACUUUUUCGUGGGGGAUAACGUAGGGAAACUUACGCUAAUACCGCAUACGACCUACGGGUGAAAGCAGGGGAUCUUCGGACCUUGCGCGAUUGAAUGAGCCGAUGUCGGAUUAGCUAGUUGGCGGGGUAAAGGCCCACCAAGACGACGAUCCGUAGCUGGUCUGAGAGGAUGAUCAGCCACACUGGAACUGAGACACGGUCCAGACUCCUACGGGAGGCAGCAGUGGGGAAUAUUGGACAAUGGGCGCAAGCCUGAUCCAGCCAUACCGCGUGGGUGAAGAAGGCCUUCGGGUUGUAAAGCCCUUUUGUUGGGAAAGAAAAGCAGCAGGAUAAUACCCCGCUGUUCUGACGGUACCCAAAGAAUAAGCACCGGCUAACUUCGUG